GCAGUAGCCGCGGUAAUACGUAGGGUCCGAGCGUUGUCCGGAAUUAUUGGGCGUAAAGAGCUCGUAGGCGGUUCGUCGCGUCUGCCGUGAAAUCCUCAGGCUCAACCUGAGGCGUGCGGUGGGUACGGGCGGGCUAGAGUGCGGUAGGGGAGAAUGGAACUCCUGGUGUAGCGGUGGAAUGCGCAGAUAUCAGGAAGAACACCGAUGGCGAAGGCAGUUCUCUGGGCCGUAACUGACGCUGAGGAGCGAAAGCGUGGGGAGCGAACAGGAUUAGAUAACCCCGGUAGUCCCUGUCUCUUAUA
rnacentral:rRNA from 1 species